CCUACGGGUGGCAGCAGUGAGGAAUAUUGGUCAAUGGCCGCAAGUCUGAACCAGCCAAGUAGCGUGCAGGAAGACGGCCCUAUGAGUUGUAAACUGCUUUUGUACGAGGGUAAACGCAGAUACGCGUAUCUGUUUGAAAGUAUCGUAUGAAUAAGGAUCGGCUAACUCCGUGCCAGCAGCCGCGGUAAUACGGAGGAUCCUAGCGUUAUCCGGAUUUAUUGGGUUUAAAGGGUGCGUAGGCGGGUGGUUACGUUAGAUGUGAAAGUCUGAGGCUCAACUGUGAAAUUGCCUGUGAUACUGGCAGCCUUGAGUGUAGGUGCGGUAGGCGGAAUGCGUGGUGUAGCGGUGAAAUGCUUAGAUAUCAUGAAGAACUCCGAUUGCGAAGGCAGCUUACUAAACUACUACUGACGUUGAGGCUCGAAAGCGUGGGUAGCAAACAGGAUUAGAUACCCUAGUAGUC
rnacentral:rRNA from 1 species